AGUUGUUUUGGUUUCAUGCUGGUGCUCAAGGGCGACAUCUGCUGGAUCAAAAAAAAAUGCAUAUAAAGCCUUUAAGUUGAACUGUGUUUCAUGAUUUUACUGUUGGAAACCAAAUUCAUCCUUUUUAUUUUUUUAGUCGGGGACUUGAUUUGGUCCGGGGUUGGGAUCUCAGGUUGUUUAUUGAUGGCGCACUUACAACAGUGAUGUGGUUUGUGACGGCAGAACAAAAGCUCCGCGCUCAUGAUGGAAAUGUUUGCACUCGUCUGAUCAGCACUUUGAAGAUAAGACUGUUGGCGUCCAUCGAGGGAGGAUAAGUCUGCCAAGGACCUGAUUACUUUAACUGGAUAUAGGCUGCAGAGGAUCCUCUUGAUAGUGGGACAAUAGGCUUUUAAUGAUAACGUGCGAGUGAGCUGAUUGUGAGAACACAGCAGGAUAUAAUCAGGAGAAUUCACCUCGAUUGAGUGGGAGGGGGGUGGUGACAUUUGGAUUCUGUGAUCGGUGCACGAUUCGUAGACUGUCUGCAUGUCACCUCUACCAUCUCCGUGCUCUACUGAACCUGCUGCAUUAUGUUUCCUGUUCUCCAGGAUGUUCUUCUCCACUCUUUGGUCGAUAUUGUGAUGCCAUCAAACUAAACGCAGCAUUGAUAGAAAGGCAAAUAUUCUCAGUAUCACGCUGUUGUGCCUUCCAUUGAUACCCACCCCCACAGUUCUGCUGUCUGAUAAGGAUGUUCUCCCGCUGUGAGGUGUAUGUGUGAACAACCAGAUCAGGAGGAUUUUAAGUGGCAGUCUGCCUGCUGUGUGCCUCACUGUGAGAAGAAGAAAACAUCAGUGUUCUCUCUGAGGCUUUAAAAAAAAUGGUAUCUGUCUGAUUUGUGCACUGACUGGCGUUCUCUCUCUCCCUGAGCUGAUAUCACAUUUAAGCCUGUAGUAGAUCCAUCGGACAUGUUGGCAUAGGAAGUGUGAAAUAACACCGAGCCGCAGACACUUAAGCUCCCUCGCUGCUGCAGCAGCAGGGGAAGCUCUGUGCCUCCGUCUCUGAGCAAAAUGGCAACCUGACAUGAUGCUAACCCCCUGAUGUAUUAUGCACAUGUGGAUUAAAACAUGGAUUUUUUUUUUUUUUUUUCAAAUAUAUCCCCAGGAUUUGUCCCAUCGUAAUCGAUUCCCGACCCGGGACUAAAGUCAACAUCUGAUUGGUGCAUCUCUCUCGUUCGUAGUCCAGACUACUGGCUCACAAUCCCUUUAAAACACAUCAUCGACAGUCCUGUUUCUCUCUCAGCUGGAACACAAACUGCAUAAUUCACUGAGCUUUUGCGCUUCUGUUUUAAUGUGUGAAAAGAAAAUAUGAACAUGUAGUAUGUGUAAACAUAACUUAGAUUUAUAUACAAGGAGAUAACAAUUGUGACUAAAACCUUUGCUGCACUUAUAGGUCCUUAAAGAACCCAUCUUGAAACAGCAGCCUAGUUAAGCGACUGCUUUCAGACUUUUAUCCUGUGUAAAUAUUGAGAUUACAUUUUAUUUUUCCAUUGGUUUUUUUUCUCUUCCUUAAAAAAGAAACAAGUGUCAUGUUCUGUAAGAUAAGAUAAUAAUGUUUAUGAAAGGGGUUCAUUCAUAAUAAUGUUUUGCACAUGUUCAGAAGAUAUUUGAUCUACUAAAAUGCUCUGCAGAUCAAACGUCAGUGGACAUGUGUAAAUUGUAAUCUUAGUUCAAGUUUUAGCUCAAGUUUGAAGCACUUGUCUCUCGCUAUGCUCUGGAAAAUCACAUUAAUAAACCUGAAGCUAAAGAAUU